GCUUCAGACUCUGGGGCGGGAGCAGCGCGGGCCGCGAGGGCGUAGGCGGGGUAUCUGGAGGAGGCGCGGGGAAUCUGGAGGAGACGCGGGGAACCUGGAGGAGGCGCGGGGAACCUGGAGAGGGUCCAGCCCGCGGGGCCCCGGCCCGAGGCGGGAAGGGGCUCCAGAGCUUCGGGAGGCAAGAUGACUUCUCUCCCCCAAGCUUGGAACAGCUAAAGGGAAAAACAGUGCAAGAUGAGAACAACAAAGGUCUACAAACUCGUCAUCCACAAGAAGGGCUUUGGGGGCAGUGAUGAUGAGCUAGUUGUGAACCCCAAAGUGUUUCCUCACAUCAAGCUUGGAGACAUUGUAGAGAUUGCACACCCCAACGAUGAAUACAGCCCUCUGCUUUUGCAGGUCAAGUCACUUAAGGAAGAUUUACAGAAGGAAACUAUCAGUGUGGACCAGACUGUAACUCAAGUGUUUCGGCUAAGACCUUAUCAAGAUGUCUAUGUUAAUGUCGUAGACCCUAAGGAUGUGACCCUUGACCUAGUGGAGUUAACUUUUAAGGACCAGUAUAUUGGCCGUGGGGAUAUGUGGCGACUAAAGAAAAGUUUGGUCAGCACAUGUGCAUAUAUCACCCAGAAGGUGGAGUUUGCUGGCAUCAGAGCACAGGCUGGUGAGCUGUGGGUUAAGAAUGAGAAGGUCAUGUGUGGUUACAUCAGUGAAGAUACCAGGGUGGUGUUUCGUUCUACGUCAGCUAUGGUUUACAUAUUUAUUCAGAUGAGCUGUGAAAUGUGGGAUUUUGAUAUUUAUGGGGAUUUGUAUUUUGAGAAAGCUGUGAAUGGUUUCCUUGCUGAUCUAUUUACCAAGUGGAAGGAGAAGAACUGUAGUCAUGAAGUGACCGUGGUCCUGUUUUCUAGAACUUUCUAUGAUGCAAAAUCUGUUGAUGAAUUUCCUGAGAUAAACCGAGCCUCAAUUCGACAGGAUCAUAAGGGGAGAUUCUAUGAAGACUUUUACAAAGUGGUGGUGCAAAAUGAGAGAAGAGAAGAAUGGACUUCACUUCUCGUGACCAUUAAAAAACUCUUCAUCCAGUAUCCAGUGUUGGUGCGACUGGAACAGGCAGAGGGCUUUCCUCAAGGAGACAAUUCUACCUCAGCACAAGGAAACUACCUGGAGGCCAUCAAUCUGUCAUUCAAUGUGUUUGAUAAGCAUUAUAUCAACCGCAACUUUGACCGAACGGGGCAGAUGUCAGUGGUGAUCACGCCCGGGGUGGGUGUCUUUGAAGUGGACCGCCUACUCAUGAUCUUGACCAAGCAGCGGAUGAUAGAUAAUGGAAUUGGUGUGGACUUGGUGUGUAUGGGAGAGCAACCGUUACAUGCUGUCCCAUUGUUCAAGCUCCAUAAUCGGAGUGCUCCCCGGGAUUCUCGUCUGGGCGAUGACUAUAAUAUCCCUCAUUGGAUAAACCACAGUUUCUACACAUCCAAAAGCCAGCUCUUUUGUAAUAGUUUCACCCCACGAAUAAAACUGGCAGGAAAGAAGCCUGCCUCUGAGAAAGCAAAAAAUGGCCGUGAUACAUCUCUCGGAAGUCCAAAAGAAUCUGAGAACGCCCUUCCCAUCCAAGUAGAUUAUGACGCCUAUGACGCUCAAGUGUUCAGGCUGCCCGGCCCAUCCCGGGCCCAGUGCCUCACCACCUGCAGGUCUGUGCGAGAGCGAGAGAGUCACAGUCGAAAGAGUGCCAGCUCCUGUGAUGUUUCAUCCAGCCCUUCACUACCAAGCCGCACACUACCCACUGAGGAAGUGAGGAGCCAGGCUUCUGAUGACAGCUCCCUGGGCAAGAGCGCCAACAUCCUGUUGAUCCCACACCCCCACCUGCACCAGUAUGAAGUCAGCAGCUCCUUGGGAUACACCAGCACUCGAGAUGUCCUGGAGAACAUGAUAGAGCCACCACAGCGAGACUCCAGUGCACCAGGGAGGUUCCACGUUGGCAGUGCAGAAUCCAUGCUGCAUGUUCGACCUGGUGGAUACACGCCCCAGAGAGCACUGAUUAACCCCUUUGCUCCCUCUCGAAUGCCCAUGAAGCUUACGUCCAACAGAAGGCGCUGGAUGCACACUUUUCCUGUGGGACCAUCCGGAGAAGCCAUCCAGAUCCACCACCAGACCCGACAGAAUAUGGCGGAGCUGCAAGGCAGUUGGCAGAGGGACCCACCUCAUUCCUCUGCAGAGCUGCUGGAGUUAGCAUAUCAUGAAGCUGCUGGAAGGCACAGCAAUUCCCGCCAGCCUGGUGACGGCAUGUCCUUCUUGAACUUCAGUGGAACAGAAGAACUUUCUGUCGGUCUGCUUAGCAACAGUGGUGCAGGUAUGAAUCCUAGGACCCAGAAUAAGGAUUCUCUAGAGGACAGUGUUUCUACCUCUCCAGACCCAAUUCUGACACUGUCUGCUCCCCCUGUAGUGCCAGGCUUCUGUUGCACAGUUGGAGUGGACUGGAAGUCUCUCACUACUCCGGCAUGCCUCCCCCUCACCACCGACUACUUCCCUGACCGCCAGGGCCUGCAGAAUGACUACACAGAGGGCUGUUAUGAUCUCCUUCCAGAAGCAGACAUCGACAGGAGGGACGAAGACGGUGUGCAGAUGACAGCCCAGCAGGUGUUUGAAGAGUUUAUUUGCCAACGUCUCAUGCAGGGCUACCAAAUCAUAGUGCAGCCCAAGGCACAAAAACCCAACCCUGCCGUCCCACCCCCGCUGAGCAGUAGCCCACUCUAUAGCCGAGGCCUUGUGUCCCGAAACCGCCCGGAGGAGGAGGACCAGUAUUGGCUGAGUAUGGGCAGAACGUUCCACAAAGUGACGCUGAAAGAUAAGAUGAUCACAGUGACGCGAUACCUUCCCAAGUAUCCUUAUGAAUCUGCCCAGAUCCACUACACCUACAGCCUCUGUCCUUCCCACUCAGACUCCGAGUUUGUCUCCUGCUGGGUGGAAUUCUCCCAUGAACGGCUGGAGGAGUACAAGUGGAAUUACUUAGAUCAGUAUAUCUGUUCUGCCGGCUCUGAAGACUUCAGCUUAAUUGAAUCCCUGAAGUUCUGGAGGACCCGCUUCCUGCUGCUGCCAGCCUGUGUCACCGCCACCAAGCGCAUCACAGAGGGGGAGGCCCACUGCGACAUCUAUGGGGACAGGCCCCGUGCAGACGAGGAUGAGUGGCAACUCCUGGAUGGCUUUAUCCGCUUUGUGGAGGGCUUGAAUCGCAUUCGCAGGCGGCAUCGCUCGGAUCGCAUGAUGCGAAAAGGGACCGCCAUGAAAGGCUUGCAGAUGACCGGGCCCAUUUCCACACAUUCUCUGGAGUCAGCCGCACCCCCGGUGGGGAAGAAGGGAACCUCAGCUCUCUCUGCCCUGUUGGAGAUGGAGGCCAGUCAGAAGUGCCUGGGAGAACAGCAGGCAGCUGUGCAUGGUGGGAAGAGCUCUGCCCAGUCAGCCGAGAGCAGCAGCGUUGCCAUGACUCCCACCUACAUGGACAGCCCACGAAAGGUAUCGGUGGACCAAACAGUCACUCCUAUGUUGGACAGCACCAGUUUGGGCAUAAGCACAGGCCAAUCCGUGGACAGAGGCAACAGCCAGACCUUUGGGAACUCCCAGAACACAGGAGAACAGGGCUACUCCUCCACAAACUCCGGUGACAGCAGCUCUCAGCAGCUGGUGGCAAGCUCCUUGACCUCAUCCUCCACCCUGACAGAGAUCCUGGAAGCCAUGAAGCACCCCUCGACAGGAGUCCAGCUGCUCUCUGAACAGAAGGGCCUCUCACCGUACUGCUUCAUCAGCGCAGAGGUGGUGCACUGGCUGGUGAACCACGUGGAGGGGAUCCAGACACAGGCGAUGGCCAUCGACAUCAUGCAGAAAAUGCUGGAAGAGCAGCUCAUCACACACGCAUCUGGCGAAGCCUGGCGGACCUUCAUCUACGGCUUCUAUUUCUACAAGAUAGUAACGGAGAAAGAGCCCGACCGAGUGGCCAUGCAGCAGCCUGCCACCACCUGGCACACAGCAGGAGUGGAUGACUUCGCCAGCUUCCAGCGCAAGUGGUUUGAGGUGGCCUUUGUGGCAGAAGAGCUCGUGCAUUCUGAGAUUCCUGCCUUUCUCCUGCCCUGGCUACCCAGCCGGCCAGCCUCCUAUGCAAGUAGGCACAGCUCCUUUAGCCGAAGUUUUGGAGGACGGAGCCAGGCAGCAGCACUUUUAGCUGCCACUGUCCCAGAGCAGAGGACUGUGACCCUGGAUGUUGACGUGAACAACCGCACAGACCGGCUGGAGUGGUGCAGCUGUUAUUACCAUGGCAACUUUUCUCUGAAUGCAGCCUUUGAGAUCAAGCUGCACUGGAUGGCGGUGACCGCAGCAGUACUCUUUGAGAUGGUCCAAGGUUGGCAUCGGAAAGCCACCUCCUGUGGCUUUUUGUUGGUCCCAGUUUUGGAGGGGCCUUUUGCACUGCCCAGUUACCUGUAUGGCGACCCCCUUCGUGCCCAGCUCUUCAUCCCACUCAACAUCAGCUGCUUGCUAAAGGAGGGCAGCGAGCACCUGUUUGAUAGCUUUGAACCGGAAACGUACUGGGAUCGAAUGCACCUCUUCCAGGAAGCCAUUGCACACAGGUUUGGGUUUGUACAAGAUAAAUAUUCUGCCUCUGCUUUUAACUUCCCUGCUGAGAACAAGCCUCAGUACAUCCACGUUACAGGAACAGUGUUUCUGCAGCUGCCCUAUUCCAAGCGCAAGUUCUCAGGGCAGCAGCGGCGGCGGCGGAACUCCACCAGCUCCACCAACCAGAACAUGUUCUGCGAGGAGCGGGUCGGCUACAACUGGGCCUACAACACCAUGCUAACCAAGACAUGGCGCUCCAGUGCCACAGGGGAUGAAAAAUUUGCUGAUCGGCUGCUGAAGGACUUCACGGACUUCUGCAUCAACCGUGACAACCGUCUGGUCACGUUCUGGACAAGUUGCCUGGAGAAGAUGCAUGCCAGUGCCCCGUGAGGCCAGGGUUAGAAGGCUGUGCCUGUGCUGAGGGAAGGUGACCCUGCAUAGCCUUUUGAAACGACCCUGACCCUCAUCCGUCUAGUGACAAGAUGGGAAUCAUCAAGACUUCAUUACAUAACUCGAGAAGUCAGUAAGGUGUGCAAGGAACAUGAUAUACCACCAGCUAGCCUGAAGCUUGGGAAAAGAGAGAAAGCAAGCAGAAAAAAAGUGUGUGCCCACCAACCUGCUAGGGCCUGAGGACAGCCCUGAUGGAGGAACCAGGAGAGUGGCUGCCACCACUUGAAGCCAGAUUGGAGGACAGCAGAAAAACUGGCCAGCUCUGGAGUCUGACCUAUGCAGGGAGCUGGGUGUCCACCCCCCACUGCACAUAUCUUGGGAUUGCUUUGUGCAUGCCCCCUUGGGCUGCCUGUCACAGUGAUCACAAGAUACUGUUCCUAUCAGGUUUUAUGAUGUAGACUCUAAGGGAGCUGCCCCUUUAUACAAGUCCCUGUGUCCCAGUGGAAUCGCAGCCAGCCCAUCGCCAUGGGAGGGAGAUUUGUUUGUGGUUUACUCACUCAUUUGUUGUUCACAGGUUCAGUCACCAUGCUGCCCACACAUAUGUAUUAAGUCACCCAUGUGCCAGGCAUCGUGUAGAUGCAGGAGGAAGGAUAUUAAACAAAAAAUUACACAAAUAACGAUUUUUAGGGUUGUGAAGUAAUAAGUAUAGUUGUGAAAACUGCUCAAAAGACAAAGGAGAGUCCACUGUGAAAGGUGUAAGGGGGGCCAGGCGCGGUGCCUCACGCCUGUAAUCCCAGCACUUUAGGAGGCCAAGGAGGGCGGAUCACAAAGUCAAGAGAUCAAGACCAUCCUGGCCAGCAUGGUGAAACC